rnacentral:ncRNA from 1 species
GAAGAGCUCUACGCCGAAGGAGUAGCGAUCCACGGCGGCCCCGAGUCAUGCGCUGGCGUCUGUGAGGGCGUUGGUGAAGCGUUGACAGGGGUACGUGCAGGCCAGGCUAUUGAGCCUCGAAAUUUCGUGACCGGGGUGCCGACGCUGUCACAGAGGUGGAAGGCAACACCGCUGGGGGCGUUUUCGCGAGCCUCCGGUGGGCCCCGCGGGGUCAGAGAACC